CCUACGGGAGGCAGCAGUGAGGAAUAUUGGUCAAUGGACGAGAGUCUGAACCAGCCAAGUAGCGUGAAGGAUGACUGCCCUAUGGGCUGUAAACUUCUUUUAUAAAGGAAUAAAACGAGGCACGGGUGCCUUUUUGGAUGUACUUUACGAAUAAGGAUCGGCUAACUCCGUGCCAGCAGCCGCGGGAAUCCAGUGGAUCCGAGCGUUAUCCGGAUUUAAUGGGUUUAAAGGGAGCGUAGAUGGGUUGUUAAGUCAGUUGUGAAAGUUUGCGGCUCAACCGUAAAAUUGCCAUUGAUACUGGCAGUCUUGAGAACAGGUGAGGGAGGCGGAAUUCGUGGUGUAGCGGUGAAAUGCUUAGAUAUCACGAAGAACCCCGAUUGCGAAGGCAGCUUACUAAACUGUGACUGACAUUGAUGCACGAAAGUGUGGGUAGCAAACAGGAUUAGAUACCCGUGUAGUC
rnacentral:rRNA from 1 species